rnacentral:sRNA from 1 species
UCUGAGAUACAAUGAACGGUUGAAGUG